AGAAAUAUUCAGGCCUAUUCACUAUGAAUUCUAUUAGACAUGUAAAGAAGAAAUAAUGCCACUUUUAUACAAUCUAUUUCAGAAAACAGAAAAGAUGGGAGCAAUUCCCAACUCAUGAAAUGAAGCCAGCAUCACCCUGAUAUCAAAACCAGAAAAAUAAUAUUAAUAAUAACAAGAAAACAGAACUGUGGACCCGUAUCCUUCAUAAACAUAGGUGCAAAAUACUCAACAAAAUAUUAGCAGAUUGAGUCCAGCAAUAUAGGAACAAGUAAAGGAUGUCCACUGUUAGCAGUCAACGUCAUGUUCAGUAUUGCACUGGAAGUUGUAGUCAGUGCUGUAAGUCAGGAAAACAAAAGACCUACACAUUAGAAGGAAGAAACAAAACUGUCCUUAUUUGCAG
rnacentral:lncRNA from 1 species